AGCUACACAUGCAAGCCGAGCGGUAGAGAUUCUUCGGAAUCUUGAGAGCGGCGUACGGGUGCGGAACACGUGUGCAACCUGCCUUUAUCUGGGGGAUAGCCUUUCGAAAGGAAGAUUAAUACCCCAUAACAUUUUGAAUGGCAUCAUUUAAAAUUGAAAACUCCGGUGGAUAGAGAUGGGCACGCGCAAGAUUAGAUAGUUGGUGAGGUAACGGCUCACCAAGUCUACGAUCUUUAGGGGGCCUGAGAGGGUGAUCCCCCACACUGGUACUGAGACACGGACCAGACUCCUACGGGAGGCAGCAGUGAGGAAUAUUGGACAAUGGGUGAGAGCCUGAUCCAGCCAUCCCGCGUGAAGGACGACGGCCCUAUGGGUUGUAAACUUCUUUUGUAUAGGGAUAAACCUACUCUCGUGAGAGUAGCUGAAGGUACUAUACGAAUAAGCACCGGCUAACUCCGUGCCAGCAGCCGCGGUAAUACGGAGGGUGCAAGCGUUAUCCGGAUUUAUUGGGUUUAAAGGGUCCGUAGGCGGAUCUGUAAGUCAGUGGUGAAAUCUCACAGCUUAACUGUGAAACUGCCAUUGAUACUGCAGGUCUUGAGUGUUGUUGAAGUAGCUGGAAUAAGUAGUGUAGCGGUGAAAUGCAUAGAUAUUACUUAGAACACCAAUUGCGAAGGCAGGUUACUAAGCAACAACUGACGCUGAUGGACGAAAGCGUGGGGAGCGAACAGGAUUAGAUACCCUGGUAGUCCACGCCGUAAACGAUGCUAACUCGUUUUUGGAUUUUCGGAUUCAGAGACUAAGCGAAAGUGAUAAGUUAGCCACCUGGGGAGUACGUUCGCAAGAAUGAAACUCAAAGGAAUUGACGGGGGCCCGCACAAGCGGUGGAUUAUGUGGUUUAAUUCGAUGAUACGCGAGGAACCUUACCAAGGCUUAAAUGGGAAAUGACAGGUUUAGAAAUAGACUUUUCUUCGGACAUUUUUCAAGGUGCUGCAUGGUUGUCGUCAGCUCGUGCCGUGAGGUGUUAGGUUAAGUCCUGCAACGAGCGCAACCCCUGUCACUAGUUGCCAUCAUUAAGUUGGGGACUCUAGUGAGACUGCCUACGCAAGUAGAGAGGAAGGUGGGGAUGACGUCAAAUCAUCACGGCCCUUACGCCUUGGGCCACACACGUAAUACAAUGGCCAGUACAGAGGGCAGCUACACGGUGACGUGAUGCAAAUCUCGAAAGCUGGUCUCAGUUCGGAUUGGAGUCUGCAACUCGACUCUAUGAAGCUGGAAUCGCUAGUAAUCGCGCAUCAGCCAUGGCGCGGUGAAUACGUUCCCGGGCCUUGUACACACCGCCCGUCAAGCCAUGGAAGUCUGGGGUACCUGAAGUCGGUGACCGUAACAGGAGCUGCCUAGGGUAAAACAGGUAACUAGGGCUAAGUCGUAACAAGAGC
rnacentral:rRNA from 1 species